GGGUGGUGAACAAGUGAGGGUAGUCGGGAGGUCAUGGAAGCUCUGUGCCCUUUCUCCCCCAUACCCCGCUCUCCCCAUCUGUUCCACGUGGAUGUUCCUCUGUAUUCUUUAUCGUAUUUUGUAGGAACAAACGCGCCAAGGUAUGCCUGCGUCAUGGAACGUAGAUGACCCAACCUACUACCUAGAAGCCUGCUAUCUAGACCCAGCCUUCUACCUAGAAGAAAGUUUAACAGCAGUGAAAACGGAAGGUGGAGGGAAGAAGCCACCCUGUGACCCAUUGUUCCUCACACAGAGGACAGAAUAGAUGCUGCUGGUCCUAGUUCCUCUGGACUGUCUACCUUGCUUCUGAAGGAGAUCGCCUGUGAGCUCAACUGAGUGAGGAUGCCAACACUGUAACUGCCAUCAUAUCUAGACAAAUGGACUUCUGUAAACCAUAAACUGGAAAAGCAAUGCAUGAAUCAGUGCUGUGGAUGGAGCUGGAAACCCC